AUGGAGUUCUUGGUUCUGCUCUUAUGCCUGGUGGUGACUCCCUGCAGUGCCCUGUCCCAGGAGCAGCUGCAGGAGUCAGGACCUGGCCUGUUGAAGCCUUCAGAGACCCUGUCCCUCACCUGCACAGUCUCUGGAUUCUCUGUAACCAGCUAUGAUGUCAGUUGGGUCCCUCAACCUCCCGCGAAGGUGCUGGAGUGGAUUGGUGCUCUAUGGGCAAAUGGAGGCACAAGUUAUAACUCAGCCCUUCAAUCUCGAGUGGGAAUCAGUAGGAACACUUCCAAGAGCCAACUCUCACUCACACCGCGUAGCCUGAUCCCCAAGGACACGGCCAUGAAUUACUGUGCAGGAGACUCAGUGAGGGGACAUCAGUGGGAGCUGACAAAUUCCUCCCUUCGUGAGCACUAA